GACGAACGCUGGCGGCGUGCUUAACACAUGCAAGUCGAACGGUAAGGCUCCAGCUUGCUGGGGUACACGAGUGGCGAACGGGUGAGUAACACGUGGGUGACCUGCCCUGCACUUCGGGAUAAGCCUGGGAAACUGGGUCUAAUACCGGAUAGGACCGCACCGUGAGGGUGUGGUGGAAAGUUUUUUCGGUGUGGGAUGGGCCCGCGGCCUAUCAGCUUGUUGGUGGGGUAAUGGCCUACCAAGGCGGCGACGGGUAGCCGGCCUGAGAGGGUGGACGGCCACAUUGGGACUGAGACACGGCCCAGACUCCUACGGGAGGCAGCAGUGGGGAAUAUUGCACAAUGGGCGGAAGCCUGAUGCGGCGACGCCGCGUGGGGGAUGACGGCCUUCGGGUUGUAAACUCCUUUCACCAUCGACGAAGGGUUUCUGACGGUAGAUGGAGAAGAAGCACCGGCUAACUACGUGCCAGCAGCCGCGGUAAUACGUAGGGUGCGAGCGUUGUCCGGAAUUACUGGGCGUAAAGAGCUCGUAGGUGGUUUGUCGCGUCGUCUGUGAAAUUCCGGGGCUUAACUCCGGGCGUGCAGGCGAUACGGGCAUAACUUGAGUACUGUAGGGGAGACUGGAAUUCCUGGUGUAGCGGUGAAAUGCGCAGAUAUCAGGAGGAACACCGGUGGCGAAGGCGGGUCUCUGGGCAGUAACUGACGCUGAGGAGCGAAAGCAUGGGGAGCGAACAGGAUUAGAUACCCUGGUAGUCCAUGCCGUAAACGGUGGGCGCUAGGUGUGGGUUUCCUUCCGCGGGAUCCGUGCCGUGGCUAACGCAUUAAGCGCCCCGCCUGGGGAGUACGGCCGCAAGGCUAAAACUCAAAGGAAUUGACGGGGGCCCGCACAAGCGGCGGAGCAUGUGGAUUAAUUCGAUGCAACGCGAAGAACCUUACCUGGGCUUGACAUAUACAGGAUCGCGCCAGAGAUGGUGUUUCCCUUGUGGCUUGUAUACAGGUGGUGCAUGGUUGUCGUCUGCUCGUGUCGUGAGAUGUUGGGUUAAGUCCCGCAACGAGCGCAACCCUUGUCUUAUGUUGCCAGCACGUUGUGGUGGGGACUCGUAAGAAACUGCCGGGGUUAACUCGGAGGAAGGUGGGGAUGACGUCAAAUCAUCAUGCCCCUUAUGUCCAGGGCUUCACACAUGCUACAAUGGUCGGUACAGUGGGUUGCCAGUCCGUGAGGGCGAGCUAAUCCCGCAAAGCCGGUCUCAGUUCGGAUCGGGGUCUGCAACUCGACCCCGUGAAGUCGGAGUCGCUAGUAAUCGCAGAUCAGCAACGCUGCGGUGAAUACGUUCCCGGGCCU
rnacentral:rRNA from 1 species